CAUGAUUCAACAACAACCUUUCAUUUUGGGGGCUCGUCCGGGAUCCUUCAGGACAAGAUGGACCUGAUAACCUAUGUGAGCUUACUUCUGCUGACUCCAAAUAUCCUGAGUCUGCCGUUGGAUCCUGAAGACAAUGUCUUCCUGUCCUGGGCUCACUCCUAUGCUGCAUUC